rnacentral:tRNA from 1 species
GGCCUGGUAGCCAAGCGGUAAGGCGGCGGUCUGCAAAACCGCUAUGCGAGGGUUCGAUUCCCUCCCAGGCCU